GAACCUAGUGAUAAUGUUAAUGAUAAUGUCCAUGUUGAGGCUCAACCUAGCAAAAACAAUGAACUGGAGAUUGAACCUGUUGUUGAUCUUGAUAACCCACAAUCGAAGAAUCAACGUCAUGAUAAGAGAGAUUUUGUUGCUAGGAAGCACGGUCGGGAAAGAGAACCAUGGGUUCAGAAACCCAUGCCCUUUCCUCCUAAACCAUCCAAGACAAAGGAUGAUGAGGAUUUUGAGCACUUUGCUAAAAUGAUUAGACCUAUUUUCUUAUGUAUGCGCUUAACUGAUAUGCUUAAAGUAAAUCCUUAUGCUAAAUAUAUGAAGGAUAUCAUCACAAAUAAAAGAAAGAUACCGGAAGCUGAAAUCUCCAUCAUGCUUGCUAAUUACACUUUUAAGGGUGGAAUACCAAAGAAACUUGGAGAUCCGGGUGUGCCAACUAUACCAUGCUCCAUUAAAAGAAAUUAUGUUAGAACUGCUUUAUGUGAUCUUGGAGCCGCUUUAGUGUUAUGCCUCUCUCUUUAUAUCGUAGACUUGAAUUGA
rnacentral:rRNA from 1 species